rnacentral:pre_miRNA from 1 species
UUAGCUCGUAUUUGUAUGGAAUGGGAUCGUUUGCGUACGUUUGCCGCUAGGGGCGCUGUUCCAACUGCAUACAAAAUUGGAAUA